ensembl:misc_RNA 7SK 7SK RNA
GGAUGUUAGGAUGGUCUGUCUUCGACACCUGCCAACCCAUCGGUCGACCACCAGGGUUGAUUCGGCCGAACUGGCUGGCUAGGUGGGUGUCCCCUUCCUCUCUCACUGCUCCAUGUGUGUCCCUCCCAGAGCUAUGCACUUGGUCAGAGGAUCACCACCUCAAUAGAGGAGGACCAUUUCCUGGGUCAAGGGUAUAUGAGUAGCUGUGCUCCCGCUAGAACCUGCACACAAGCUCUCAAUCAUACCCCCCACACUCCCCAUCAUUGGGCUGUUUCUCAAGUCAAAUCUUCUUGUUCAUUGUAAACUUGUUUGUUA